rnacentral:rRNA from 1 species
UAUCAUUUAGAGGAAGGAGAAGUCGUAACAAGGUUUCCGUAGGUGAACCUGUAGAGGAUCAUUG